ACCAUGUGUGGGGGCAGAAACUACUUCCACUCUUAUCUUCCAUACUGCAUAAUUGCCAGAUAGACAACUUCUGCAUCACACUUAAGGCCCCAAAGGAACAAGAAUAAAAGCAUUACUUAGAUUAUCAGGAACUACAAUGCCAAAUAGAAAGCAUUCCUCCAUUCAUCACUCCUUCUGGGAAGAAGUAGACUAAGAGGUAAGAAGCAACUAAUUUUUCAUGGGAUUUAAAACUAAAUAGGUGAAUCUGAAGUCUGGGCUGCUUCCAUUCCAUCCCAUUGUCUCUUCUGAGGGAGAAAGCUUCUAAGGGAGAAAGCCCUUGGGGCUUGGAACAAAAGAAGCCAGAGUCUUUAGAGUACACACUCCAUACUUCCUUUAAAUAAAUUUCAACAACAGGUCAAAGCAUGUAUCUUGCAACCUUCUUUGAAUAAGGCUCAGUGCAAAGCUGGGGCCAGUGGCCUUCACCUUCCUUCAUCCUUAUCUAUCAAGGAUUUUUUGUGAGCAUAAGAGGCAGCAACUUUACUUGUAUUUCAUUUCAUAGCUUAAUCAUAUCUACAUGCAAUUAGAAAACAUAUGGUAAGGCAUAUUUGUGAAGGUCACAAAAUCUAGUAGAGCUGGAAUGCCAGGAUUUGAUUCCAACUUCUGCCACUUACUAACUGCGGAACCUUAGGCAAGUCACUGAACCUCUAAGUUUCCUCAGCUGUAAAACAAUAAUAAACACAGUCUACAGGU
rnacentral:antisense_RNA from 1 species